rnacentral:rRNA from 1 species
UACGAAGGGGGCUAGCGUUGCUCGGAAUCACUGGGCGUAAAGGGUGCGUAGGCGGGUUUUAAGUCAGAGGUGAAAUCCUGGAGCUCAACUCCAGAACUGCCUUUGAUACUGAAAGUCUUGAGUAUGGGAGAGGUGAGUGGAACUGCGAGUGUAGAGGUGAAAUUCGUAGAUAUUCGCAAGAACACCAGUGGCGAAGGCGGCUCACGUGGCCCAUA